GCCUGCGAAGGUGGCCUGUGAGGGUUGCUGGAGGUAUCAGAAGUGCGAAUGCUGACAUAAGUAACGAUAAAGCGGGUGAAAAGCCCGCUCGCCGGAAGACCAAGGGUUCCUGUCCAACGUUAAUCGGGGCAGGGUGAGUCGACCCCUAAGGCGAGGCCGAAAGGCGUAGUCGAUGGGAAACGGGUUAAUAUUCCCGUACUUGGUGUUACUGCGAAGGGGGGACGGAGAAGGCUAUGUUGGCCGGGCGACGGUUGUCCCGGUUUAAGCGUGUAGGUGUGUGUUCCAGGUAAAUCCGGUUCACUUUAACACUGAGGCGUGAUGACGAGGCACUACGGUGCUGAAGCAACAAAUGCCCUGCUUCCAGGAAAAGCCUCUAAGCAUCAGGUAACAUCAAAUCGUACCCCAAACCGACACAGGUGGUCAGGUAGAGAAUACCAAGGCGCUUGAGAGAACUCGGGUGAAGGAACUAGGCAAAAUGGUGCCGUAACUUCGGGAGAAGGCACGCUGACACGUAGGUGAAGUGAUUUACUCAUGGAGCUGAAGUCAGUCGAAGAUACCAGCUGGCUGCAACUGUUUAUUAAAAACACAGCACUGUGCAAACACGAAAGUGGACGUAUACGGUGUGACGCCUGCCCGGUGCCGGAAGGUUAAUUGAUGGGGUCAGCGCAAGCGAAGCUCCUGAUCGAAGCCCCGGUAAACGGCGGCCGUAACUAUAACGGUCCUAAGGUAGCGAAAUUCCUUGUCGGGUAAGUUCCGACCUGCACGAAUGGCGUAAUGAUGGCCAGGCUGUCUCCACCCGAGACUCAGUGAAAUUGAACUCGCUGUGAAGAUGCAGUGUACCCGCGGCAAGACGGAAAGACCCCGUGAACCUUUACUAUAGCUUGACACUGAACAUUGAGCCUUGAUGUGUAGGAUAGGUGGGAGGCUUUGAAGUGUGGACGCCAGUCUGCAUGGAGCCGACCUUGAAAUACCACCCUUUAAUGUUUGAUGUUCUAACGUGGACCCGUUACCCGGGUUGCGGACAGUGUCUGGUGGGUAGUUUGACUGGGGCGGUCUCCUCCUAAAGAGUAACGGAGGAGCACGAAGGUUGGCUAAUCCUGGUCGGACAUCAGGAGGUUAGUGCAAUGGCAUAAGCCAGCUUGACUGCGAGCGUGACGGCGCGAGCAGGUGCGAAAGCAGGUCAUAGUGAUCCGGUGGUUCUGAAUGGAAGGGCCAUCGCUCAACGGAUAAAAGGUACUCCGGGGAUAACAGGCUGAUACCGCCCAAGAGUUCAUAUCGACGGCGGUGUUUGGCACCUCGAUGUCGGCUCAUCACAUCCUGGGGCUGAAGUAGGUCCCAAGGGUAUGGCUGUUCGCCAUUUAAAGUGGUACGCGAGCUGGGUUUAGAACGUCGUGAGACAGUUCGGUCCCUAUCUGCCGUGGGCGCUGGAGAACUGAGGGGGGCUGCUCCUAGUACGAGAGGACCGGAGUGGACGCAUCACUGGUGUUCGGGUUGUCAUGCCAAUGGCACUGCCCGGUAGCUAAAUGCGGAAGAGAUAAGUGCUGAAAGCAUCUAAGCACGAAACUUGCCCCGAGAUGAGUUCUCCCUGAGACUUAGAGUCUCCUGAAGGAACGUUGAAGACGACGACGUUGAUAGGCCGGGUGUGUAAGCGCAGCGAUGCGUUGAGCUAACCGGUACUAAUGAACCGUGAGGCUUAACCUUAC
rnacentral:rRNA from 1 species